GACGAACGCUGGCGGCGUGCUUAACACAUGCAAGUCGAACGGAAAGGCCCUGCUUUUGUGGGGUGCUCGAGUGGCGAACGGGUGAGUAACACGUGAGUAACCUGCCCUUGACUUUGGGAUAACUUCAGGAAACUGGGGCUAAUACCGGAUAGGAGCUCCUGCUGCAUGGUGGGGGUUGGAAAGUUUCGGCGGUUGGGGAUGGACUCGCGGCUUAUCAGCUUGUUGGUGGGGUAGUGGCUUACCAAGGCUUUGACGGGUAGCCGGCCUGGGAGGGUGACCGGCCACAUUGGGACUGAGGUACGGCCCAGACUCCUACGGGAGGCAGCGGUGGGGAGUAUUGCACAAUGGGCGGAAGCCUGAUGCAGCAACGCCGCGUGCGGGAUGACGGCCUUCGGGUUGUAAACCGCUUUCGCCUAUGACGAAGCGUGAGUGACGGUAAUGGGUAAAGAAGCACCGGCUAACUACGUG
rnacentral:rRNA from 1 species